rnacentral:lncRNA from 1 species
CCAGGAGCUGAGGAAGGUCACAUGGAGAGUCUCUGGCUGGAACACUCAGUGGUGCUCAGAAAUCCUAAACACUGGCCCUCGUGCCCUGCCAGGGAGAACAGGGAGUCCUCUCUCAGGCUGGACUCUGAGCAGGCGAGAUGGAAGUAGCCUUAUUAGGUCAUCCAGCCGGUUGGUGAGCCUCUCUCCUCUGCUCCCAGCCCACGAGAGUGAGACUCUGCGUCCCUCCGCCACCACCUCCCCCGGGCCCCCUUGGAGGAGUCUGCCCUCCUCCAAAGAUGGACCAAUCCCAUCCGGCUGCAUCCCGUUCCCCUCCAGCCCUGGAGAGGAAGCCCAGGGAGCCACUUGGUCCCCUAGAGGCCCAGUGGUGUUCCUUCCAGUCCCACUGUCUCCCCAUCCCUUGCUUUUCCCACACACUUAGCACCUUUUAACAUUUCCUCUCAUGUCCUCACUGGUUCCAUCUGUCAUGUGUCACCUGCCUCUUGCACUAAAUGAGAACUCCUCAAGGAAGGGAUUGGCUCCGGCUGGGUCGUGCAUAUGUUUCAAGUGUGAUUUCAAUAAAUACUUACUGAACGGAUUUCUCACGCACAAAGGCAAGUUUCCAAAGGCUGCAAACCAUUGUCACAAUUCCUGGAGGAUGAGCCAACAUCAGCACCGAAGCCCCCCUGAGAGCCCCUGUGCCAGCCGGGCCCCAGCCUCCCAUCCCCGCACCCAGGCUCCUUGAACUGUCGCCUCCCACUUACCAAGAUUGCUCCCAACGAAGAAUCUUACAGUCUCUGCCACUGGAAGGCAUGAAUGCUUACCAAGCCUGGACAUGUUCCUUCUCCAAGAGCAGCUGCUGAGUUCACAGGCAAACUCUAGUCAUAGGAAUCAAUACCCGCUGGUAAAAGGUCAACAUCCGUAAGAGGGCUGGGGGCUGGCCAAGCAGACAGCCUGGAGCUUCCAUCUUGGAACCCCACAAACCUCCAAUGCUGGGUCUACUGUUUAAAAGUAUUAAUUAAAGUAAAUUAAAAAUAUUAAUUUGUGUUUUCUGAUUAUAAAAAUGGUUUAUGCUUAUAGAAAUUUCUUUUGACAUUUUACGCUGGUCAGUUUUUUUUUUUUUUUUUGGAAGAUUGGCCCUGAGCUAACAUCUGUUGCCAAUCUUCCUUUUUUUUCUUCUUCUCCCCAAAGCCCCCCAUUACAUAAGUUGUAUAUCCUAGCUGUAGGUCCUUCUAGUUGUGCUAUGUGGGACGCCACCUCAGUGUGGCCUGAUGAGCUGAGCAGUGCCAGGUCUGCGCCCAGGAUCCGAACCAGCGAAACCCGGGCCACCAAAGCAGAGCAUGUGAAUUUAACCACUUGGCCACGGAGCCAGUCCCUAGAAAAUUUUAAAUUAUAAAAUCGUGUUUAAAAAAACAAAACAUUUAAAGCCUCUGCCAGCUCACCAUUCAUAGAUAACUCUAUACACAUCUUGGAAAUUUUCUUUCUCUCCUCUUAAUCCAAUCAUUACCAUUUUUCUCAUUUUUUCCUUUAGGAAAAACAAAAUUGUUUUUUC